ensembl:miRNA microRNA 10a
CCUGUCACCUACCUUCACCCUGUAGAUCCGAAUUUGUGUAAACAUGACGGAAGCUGCAAAUUCGGGUCUUGGGGAGGAUGUAGGUGAUG